AGAAUCAACGCUGGCGGCGUGCCUAACACAUGCAAGUCGAACGAGAAAGUGGAGCAAUCCAUUAGUAAAGUGGCGCACGGGUGAGUAACACGUGACUAACCUACCCUUGAGUGGGGGAUAACCUAGGGAAACCUGGGCUAAUACCGCAUAAUACCUUCGGGUCAAAGGAGCAAUUCGCUUAAGGAGGGGUCGCGGCCGAUUAGUUAGUUGGCGGGGUAAUGGCCCACCAAGACGAUGAUCGGUAUCC
rnacentral:rRNA from 1 species